rnacentral:rRNA from 1 species
UACGAGGGGGGCGAGCGUUGUUCGGAAUUAUUGGGCGUAAAGGGCGCGUAGGCGGUCGGAUAAGUCUUGUGUGAAAUCUUCGGGCUCAACUCGAAGUCUGCACAGGAAACUAUCUGGCUUGAGUGUGGAGAGGUGAGUGGAAUUCCUGGUGUAGCGGUGAAAUGCGUAGAUAUCAGGAGGAACACCUGUGGCGAAAGCGGCUCACUGGACCACAACUGACGCUGAGGCGCGAAAGCUAGGGGAGCAAACAGG